rnacentral:rRNA from 1 species
AUUGAACGCUGGCGGCAGGCCUAACACAUGCAAGUCGAGCGAGCGGCGGACGGGUUAGUAAUGUCUGGGAAACUGCCUGAUGGAGGGGGAUAACUACUGGAAACGGUCGCUAAUAACGCAUACCAUCAGAUGUGCCCAGCUGGGAUUAGCUAGUAGGUGGGUGAACGGCUAUCCUAGGCGACGAUCCCUAGCUGGUCUGAGAGGAUGACCAGCCACACGGGAAUGGAGAAACGUGCCAGACCCCUACGGGAGGCAGCAGUGCGGAAUAUUGCACAAUGGGCGCAAGCCUGAUGCAGCCAUGCUGCGUGUGUGACGAAGGCCGUCGGGUUGUAAAGCACUUUCAGCGGGGAGGCGUUACCCUAAGAAGAAGCACCGGCUAACUCCGUGCCAGCAGCCGCGGUAAUUC